CCAGUCAUUCCGUUGACUGAGCCUAAUAUCGACUGCAUUACUGGUAACGGUUUUGUAGUAAGCCGAUAUGAAAAUGUAGCCCUUUAAAACCAAAUCGUGAGAGGAGGUUGUUACUGUUAGCAGUGAAACGGUUAGGG
rnacentral:ncRNA from 1 species